rnacentral:rRNA from 1 species
GAUGAUAGCCGAUAGCACGUUGAAUACACCAGUUUCCGAUCGAUCACUGAAGUUAAGCAACGGUGAGCAAGGUUGGUAUCCGGAUAAGUAAACAUUUUGGCAAUCGCGUGCUGAUAUAU